rnacentral:misc_RNA from 1 species
AACGAGGCCGACCUGCGGCUGAGUUACCUGCGGAGGGAUCAUUAAUAAAUGGAAGUGGGUUUCAUCUUUUGUCUCUCACUUCAAAAACAUGAUCUACAGUUCUCCUGGGGGAGGAAGGGGACCAUGUUCCCCCUCCCUAUAAGGAGGAUUUGUAGAGAUCCUCUGUGCAUUGUUUCUAUAGACUUCCCCAGAUGGACUUAAGGAUUCUCUGAGUCCACUGGGGACUCUUGUAAUCAAAUU